UACGGAGGAUGCGAGCGUUAUCCGGAUUUAUUGGGUUUAAAGGGUGCGUAGGCGGAUCGUUAAGUCAGUGGUCAAAUUGAGGGGCUCAACCCCUUCCCGCCAUUGAAACUGGCGAUCUUGAGUGGAAGAGAAGUAUGCGGAAUGCGUGGUGUAGCGGUGAAAUGCAUAGAUAUCACGCAGAACCCCGAUUGCGAAGGCAGCAUGCCGGCUUCCGACUGACGCUGAAGCACGAAAGCGUGGGUAGCAAACAGG
rnacentral:rRNA from 1 species